CUGGUAAGAAACUGAAUGCCUUUCUCCUGAGAUCAGGAACACAACAAGGAUAUCCUUUCUUGCCACUUCCAUUCAACAUUGCAGUGAAGGUCAUACAAUUCCAGGUUGCUCACAGACCCCCUCUAGGAGAUGUUACUGUCGCUCAUUCGUAUUUCCGGUUCUACUCCUCUUCCGGGCACACUGGAGAAUUACACUUCCUUGCUGACUUGAGAUAAGUCACAGCUUUGGCCAAUGAAGUGUGAAUGGAAGUUUUCAGAACCUUUAAGAGCCUGUACGCAAUUUGCCAUGCUUUCUCUUUUUGCUUUGUCACCAAAACCUCUGUGUUCCAGAUAGUGACUACUCUGUCUGCGUGGGUCCUGGAGAGAGGAGGAUGCAGAGCACAGCACUUAGCCAACCUGCAAUGGACACGUAGAAAACCUCAAGAAAGGCUCUGGCCUAGACUUGCCCCUUGUUCCUGUCUUCUGGCUCUUGACUGACACUGGUGCUUUCCCCCUGUGGUCCUGCAUGGUGUGUGGUGACUACCUCAUUGGGCCCUAAAACUUCUAAAAUCAUCAGGAGAUAUCACUGAAAAGGUUUCAAAACAAAGCCAUAAUCUCUAGAAAUGUGUCCUUGAUGGGUUGGUCUUCAUUUGCCUGAAGAAAUUGAGGCUAAGUGAGCCAAGGAAAAAGUCAUCCAUCAAGAACAAAGCAAGAUUUCUCAACCAUGGCAGGACGUUAGGAUCAUCUGUAGAACUUUAAAAUAUUGUUUAAUUUUUUUCAUUUGGUUUCCUUUAUAGUUGAUUUUGUUUAACUUUGCCAGUGAAAUUUAAAAAACAAAAAACAAAAAACAGCAAUGCU
rnacentral:lncRNA from 10 species